UCCAAGAAUAUAAAAUUAAAAUAUAAAAUCCUUCGCCCUUUGUUAGGGCUGCAUCCAGCCCUAGUGAAGAGAUCAGCCUUCCAUGGAGUCGUGGGCGACAGCAGCGGUGGCACAGCAGCGGGCUUCCAUUUCUUCCUUUUCUUCCUUCGGCGACUCCCCUCGAACGGCUCCUUUUUAGCUCUUAUGGGAAAUCAUUCCCAAAAUACCCAAAAGUUUUCUCUCUCUUUUUUAAAUUUUCUUGUGGGAACUCCUGAGAAGAGCUUCAGCCUCGAACCCGCUUCCCCCCCGAAUGCCUUCAUCUUCACGCAUUGAUUCCCUUUUAUAGCCUUCACCUGGGUGGGAGGAUAAGGUUGAUUGAGCUGAUCUGCCGUUGGGAGGAUGAGCUGGGAUUUCUUCAACGUGGAGGAGAUGCGGAUGGCUGGUAGUUGAUCCGGAAGUUGUGUUGCUUGAUCUUCAGCUGCAGGGGAUGGCGAGGACGUGGAGCAAGAUGCAAGAGAUGCUGGGAUGAAUCCAUGGAUAAGGAUGAACUCAGGAGCUUGGAACAGCUGGGAGGUUGAUCGCAAAGGGAAGAUGCAG
rnacentral:lncRNA from 1 species